UACGGAGGAUGCAAGCGUUAUCCGGAAUGAUUGGGCGUAAAGGGUCCGCAGGUGGUCGUGUAAGUCUGCUGUCAAAGAAUGAGGCUUAACCUUAUCAAGGCAGUGGAAACUACACAGCUAGAGUACGGUCGGGGUAGAAGGAAUUCCUGGAGUAGCGGUGAAAUGCGUAGAGAUCAGGAAGAACACCGGUGGCGAAAGCGUUCUGCUAGACCUGGACUGACACUGAGGGACGAAAGCUAGGGGAGCGAAUGGG
rnacentral:rRNA from 1 species